AAUGCUGUUCAAUACAUCGCAGGCGAUCAGCAAGUACGUGUGCAGUGCUGAGCUGAGUUCCAUUCCCCAAGAUCCAAGUCUUAAAGUUCUAUGGAAACCUGUUCAGAAUCGUAGCAGCAGGCAAGCCUCUCCCGAGAGUGAAUGAUUUCCUGGUGAACUGCCAGAAGGGAGAAGGAGGCGGAAUAAAACUGUUUUACCUCCAAAGUCAUACCACCCAUCCCAUGAGUCAUUUUACAGGUAGCCCGAGGGAUCAGGCCUGUCCCAGAAAUGCAUGGAAGACAAGAAUGAAGGAAAAGAAAAGAAAAUUGCAAGCCCAACCGCUCCAGCAGCACAUCCCGGGAUGGGGCGUCGGCUGGCCAGACCACAGACACCAAGUUCACCAGCAUCUGUGGCUGUCCCCACCUGACUGGUCUCAGCUGCCCCACCUCCCAGAUGGACUCAAUUAUCACCAGUGUCCUUUGCACUGGCUGACAUUUUGCUCUGUUUAAAAAAAAAAAAAAGGUGCUUUUUUACGGCUAUUAUUGUAUUGUGCUAGUGGGCUUUGUCUCACAGGUUGAGUCAUGAA